GAUGAACGCUAGCGGCAGGCUUAAUACAUGCAAGUCGAGGGGCAGCAUGAUUGUAGCAAUACAAUUGAUGGCGACCGGCAAACGGGUGCGGAACACGUACACAACCUCCCAAUAAGUGGGGAAUAGCCCAGAGAAAUUUGGAUUAAUACCCCGUAACAUAACGAUGUGGCAUCACAUUGUUAUUAUAGAUUUUUCGCUUAUUGAUGGGUGUGCGGCUGAUUAGAUAGUUGGCGGGGUAACGGCCCACCAAGUCUACGAUCAGUAGCUGAUGUGAGGGCAUGAUCAGCCACACGGGAACUGAGACACGGGCCCGACUCCUACGGGAGGCAGCAGUAAGGAAUAUUGGACAAUGGACGCAAGUCUGAUCCAGCCAUGCCGCGUGAAGGAUUAAGGUCCUCUGGAUUGUAAACUUCUUUUAUAAGGGACGAAAAAAGGCUUUUCUAAGUCGUCUGACGGUACCUUAUGAAUAAGCACCGGCUAACUCCGUGCCAGCCGCCGCGGUAAAAC
rnacentral:rRNA from 1 species